AGCACGGUGGUUGUCAUGGUUCCCUCUCUCAGUCGCACCUCCACCCCAGCUCCACUGAGGAACAUCACGGUCACAUUUGUGGAGGAAGGUGAGAUCUGUGGCCUCUCCAGGACGUAAACAUUCCUCGUCCUGUGCAAGAAAACAAGCAUCAACAAUUCAGCCAAGUCUUAGUGAUGUGGGUAACUGUAGUGCUGGCAGUUUCUCUCCAGGCCGAGCCAGCGGAGCAGAUCUUCCUCUCCUCCCUCCACCAGCUGAUAGAAGAUAUG